UCUGGUUGAUUCUGCCAGACCGAACUGCUUGGGGGGUUGGACUAAGACAUGUGAGUCUAAAGGGCCGGCACGUCGGCCCUUGGCGGACCGCUCAGUAACACGUGGUCAACCUACCCUGCGGAGGGAAAUAACCAGGAGAAAUUCUGGAUAAUGGACCAUAGUUGUAGUGCUCUGGAAGGACGCUACAUCGAAAUGGGUCGCUCGACUAUGUGGGUGGCCCGCCGCAGGAUGGGACUGCGCCUGAUUAUGGUUGAUAGUGGGGUAAUUGCCCACGAUGCCUAUGAUCAGUACGGGCCGUGAGAGCGGAAGCCCGGAGUUCAUCACUGAGACAUUGAUGAGGCCCUACGGGGCGCAGCAGUCGCGAAACCUCUACAAUGCGCGAAAGCGUGAUAGGGCAACCCCCCGUGCCGGGAGUAAAAGCUCCCGGCUGUUGCGGGUACGUAAGAAGUCCCGCGAGGAAGGAGAGGGCAAAGCUGUGUGCCAGCCGCCGCGGUAGAACCAGUUCUUCAAGUGGUUCGGAUGUUUAUUUAGCUUAAAGCGUCCGUAGCCGGCCCGGCCGGUCCCCGGUUAAAUCCAGGCGCCUAACGCCUGGGCUGCUGGGGAUACCACCGGGCUAGGAGGCAGGAGAAGGGAGGGGUACUCUCGGGGUAGCGGUGAAAUGCGUAAAUCCUGAGGGGACCUCCAGUGGCGAAGGCGCCUCCCUUGAAUGCGCUCGACGGUGAGGGACGAAACCCAGGGCAGAAAAAGGGAUUAGAGACCCCUGUAUUCCUGGGCGUAAACGAUGCGCACUUUGUGUGUGCCCCGCUUAGAGCAGGGCACGUGCCGUAGCGAAAGCGUUAAGUGCGCCGCUUGGGGUGUACGACCGCAAGGAUGAAACUUAAAGAAAUUGACGGGGAUUCACGGAAGGGGAGGAGCCUGCGGUUUAAUAGGACACAACGCCGAAAUCCCUACCACGUGCUACGGCUCGAUGAAAGACAGGUUGACGACCUUUCUGGAUGUUUCGAAGAGUGGUGCAUGGCCACUGGAAGUUAGUGCCGUGUGGUAUCCUGUUAAGUCGUAACUAACGAGGCCUUUACCCAUCAUUUGCUAGCGAGCGGCUGCGACUGCCCGCGCACUAUGAGGGGACUGCCUACCAAUGAGGUGGAGGAAGGAAAAGGCCAAAGUAGGUCUGUAUGCCCUCGAAUCACGUGGGCCACACGCGGGCUAUAAUGCAAGGUACAGCGGGCUGUGACUCCGAAAGGAGGAACUAAUCCCAAAAGCCUUGCUCAGUUUGAACUGUCGGCUGCAACUCGCCGACACGAAAGUAGAUUCCCUAGUAAUCGCGCGUCACUAGCGCGCGGUGAAUAAACAUAUGAAUCUUGUGCACACCGCCCGUCGUUUCACUCGAUUAGAUGGUUUCAUAAGCCCCGUCCACCGGGCGGGGUUAUUGGAGACGUCUGAGAGAAGGAA
rnacentral:rRNA from 1 species